rnacentral:tRNA from 1 species
GCGGAUGUGGCGGAACUGGCAGACGCGCUGGAUUUAGGUUCCAGUGNNUGCAGGUUCGAUUCCUGUCAUCCGUA